rnacentral:rRNA from 1 species
CUACGGGAGGCACCAGUGGGGAAUAUUGCACAAUGGAGGAAACUCUGAUGCAGCAACGCCGCGUGGAGGAUGACACUUUUCGGAGCGUAAACUCCUUUUAUAUAGGAAGAAGAUGACGGUACUAUAUGAAUAAGCGCCGGCUAACUCCGUGCCAGCAGCCGCGGUAAUACGGAGGGCGCAAGCGUUACUCGGGAUCACUGGGCGUAAAGAGCGUGUAGGCGGAUUAAAAAGUCAGAAGUGAAAUCCUAUAGCUUAACUAUAGAACUGCUUCUGAAACUCUUAAUCUAGAAUAUGGGAGAGGUAGAUGGAAUUUCUGGUGUAGGGGUAACAUCCGUAGAGAUCAGAAGGAAUACCGAUUGCGAAGGCGAUCUACUAGAACAUUAUUGACGCUGAGACGCGAAAGCGUGGGGAGCAAACAGGAUUAGAUACCCUGGUAGUC